CCAGGCCUUAAAAGGCCUGGCUACUAUCAAACGCCCCUACGGGGCU
rfam:Candidatus Magasanikbacteria bacterium RIFCSPLOWO2_12_FTLL_43_12 rifcsplowo2_12_scaffold_954, whole genome shotgun sequence.